rnacentral:rRNA from 1 species
AUUGAACGCUGGCGGCAGGCUUAACACAUGCAAGUCGAGCGGGGAAGGGUAGCUUGCUACCUAACCUAGCGGCGGACGGGUGAGUAAUGCUUAGGAAUCUGCCUAUUAGUGGGGGACAACAUUCCGAAAGGAAUGCUAAUACCGCAUACGCCCUACGUGGGAAAGCAGGGGAUCUUCGGACCUUGCGCUAAUAGAUGAGCCUAAGUCAGAUUAGCUAGUUGGUGGGGUAAAGGCCUACCAAGGCGACGAUCUGUAGCGGGUCUGAGAGGAUGAUCCGCCACACUGGGACUGAGACACGGCCCAGACUCCUACGGGAGGCAGCAGUGGGGAAUAUUGGACAAUGGGCGCAAGCCUGAUCCAGCCAUGCCGCGUGUGUGAAGAAGGCCUUUUGGUUGUAAAGCACUUUAAGCGAGGAGGAGGCUACCGAGAUUAAUACUCUUGGAUAGUGGACGUUACUCGCAGAAUAAGCACCGGCUAACUCUGUGCCAGCCGCCGCCGUAACAC